rnacentral:rRNA from 1 species
GUGCAGCAGGCGCGAAAACUUUACAAUGUGCGAAAGCACGAUAAGGGAACUCUGAGUGCCUCCUAAGGAGGCUGUUCUGAUGUCUAAAAAGCAACAGAAGUAAGGGCUGGGUAAGACCGGUGCCAGCCGCCGCGGUAACACCGGCAGCCCAAGUGGUAGCCACGUUUAUUGGGUCUAAGCGUUCGUAGCCGGCCAGGUAAGUUCCUUGGUAAAUUUAGCCGCUUAACGGUUAAGCUUUCAGGGAAUACUGCUUGGCUUGGGACUGGGAGAGGUCAGAGGUACUCCGGGGGUAGGGGUGAAAUCUAUUAAUCCCUGGGGGACCACCGGUAGCGAAGGCGUCUGACCAGACCAGGUCCGACGGUGAGGGACGAAGGCUAGGGGCGCGAACCGGAUUA